rnacentral:rRNA from 1 species
UGCCUACGGGGCGCAGCAGUGGGGGAUAUUGCACAAUGGGGGGAACCCUGAUGCAGCGACGCCGCGUGGGCGAUGGAGCGCCUCGGCGCGUAAAGCCCUAUCAGCAGGGAAGAAGAUGACGGUACCUGACUAAGAAGCCCCGGCUAAAUACGUGCCAGCAGCCGCGGUAAUACGUAUGGGGCAAGCGUUAUCCGGAUUUACUGGGUGUAAAGGGAGCGUAGACGGCAGCACAAGUCUGGAGUGAAAUCCCGGGGCUUAACCCCGGA